GAUGAACGCUGGCGGCGUGCUUAACACAUGCAAGUCGAACGGGAAACCUUUUAUUGAAGCUUCGGCAGAUUUAGCUGGUUUCUAGUGGCGGACGGGUGAGUAACGCGUGGGUAACCUGCCUUAUACAGGGGGAUAACAGUCAGAAAUGGCUGCUAAUACCGCAUAAGCGCACAGAGCUGCAUGGCUCAGUGUGAAAAACUCCGGUGGUAUAAGAUGGACCCGCGUUGGAUUAGCUGGUUGGUGGGGUAACGGCCCACCAAGGCGACGAUCCAUAGCCGGCCUGAGAGGGUGAACGGCCACAUUGGGACUGAGACACGGCCAAGACUCCUACGGGAGGCAGCAGUGGGGAAUAUUGCACAAUGGGGGAAAGCCUGAUGCAGCGACGCCGCGUGAAGGAAGAAGUAUCUCGGUAUGUAAACUUCUAUCAGCAGGGAAGAUAAUGACGGUACCUGACUAAGAAGCCCCGGCUAACUACGUG
rnacentral:rRNA from 1 species